rnacentral:rRNA from 1 species
UAUUGGACAAUGGGCGCAAGCCUGAUCCAGCCAUGCCGCGUGGGUGAAGAAGGCCUUCGGGUUGUAAAGCCCUUUUGUUGGGAAAGAAAUCCUGUCGACUAAUACCUGGCAGGGAUGACGGUACCCAAAGAAUAAGCACCGGCUAACUUCGUGCCAGCAGCCGCGGUAAUACGAAGGGUGCAAGCGUUACUCGGAAUUACUGGGCGUAAAGCGUGCGUAGGCGGUUUGUUAAGUCCGUUGUGAAAGCCCUGGGCUCAACCUGGGAAUUGCAGUGGAUACUGGCAAGCUAGAGUACGGUAGAGGAUGGUGGAAUUCCCGGUGUAGCGGUGAAAUGCGUAGAGAUCGGGAGGAACACCCGUGGCGAAAGCGGCCAUCUGGACCAGUACUGACGCUGAGGCACGAAAGCGUGGGGAGCAAACAG